UAACGUCCCUUCGGGGACAUCCGAUAAAAUUGGAACGAUACAGAGAAGAUUAGCAUGGCCCCUGCGCAAGGAUGACACGCACAAAUCGAGAAAUGGUCCAAAUUUUUUUCUUGACCAUUUUGGCCCCAUACUCUGCAUCUGCUUUUACCAAAACACCCUCCGAAUUCAUCAGUUUCCUACACUACCCCUCCUUUCUUCCACGUGUCUUUUCGUUCGCUUUGAGUCUCACCAGCAGCUUACCGAGGAGCUCCAUUCGCAACUCCAACAUCCUCUUUCAUCUCUGCCAGCUUCCCCUAUUUCACUCUCUCUCUCUCUCUCUCCCUUUCUCUAUAAAUGCCGCUAUAUCGACAUAUAGAGAGAGAGGGUUAUAUAAAGAUAUAUUGAGGGUAGAUGGAGAGAGUGAGGCGGAUGAAGCCUGACUCCGCCAUUAACUCCGGCGUCACCUUCAUCAAUAAAAUCCUCAUCGCCAUGGCUCUCAACGAAGUUCGGUUGCAGCUUUUCCGACAGCAAGAUUUAAAUUCGCUAUGAUCCGGCGUAUGUGUGGGCCACCUGAGAGGUCAGCUUGAAGCAGCUGGACAUUGAUUUCUUAGAUCACUAUUAUCGGCAUCGCGUCGACACUAGCAUCAUCGUCGAAGUCACGGUACAAAACACUUCUCUUUCACUUUUAUAUUAUUGUAAUUUAUGAUAAAGAUGGAUCAUAUUCCAUUUCUUUCACUCAUCAUGUUGAUCUAUAUAUAUAGGAAUUUGAGAAUACGCAAAUGAAAGUCAACAAAUUGUCUGUUUUCGAAUUGUAUUACAAGUGUCCAUGCACUGCUUGAUGGAAUGUCUCAGCCAAAAAUUCAACUGUUUUGAAUAUGUUUAUCAAAACACAAGAAAUAGGAAGGAAAAAUACUAAAUCCAUUUGAAACAAACAGAGUGAAGUUUAGCGGUUGUUGAGCUACAUAAAUAUAAAUGCUACUUAUAUGUCAAUAAUGUUUUGAGUCUCGUAUGUUUUCAUAAAUACGGAUUUGUAAAUUAUUUACUAUUGGCUCUCCUUUCUAUUGUUUCUUAUCACCUGAUUUUUUUAAUACCUGUUAAAGCAGUCCUAAAUAUUUAGAUUGCUUUUUCAUUAGUAAUUCAGUUCUUAGAAGGGUUUUAUUUCUUUUCUUCUUUUCAUUAUUCUUACUCAUUGUCAAAUCCUGUCUGGUUUAGUAAGCAUAAUAUUCUCUGGUUCUCUUCUCUUCUGUCCAUGGAUUUUAAUUCAUAAUUACCAAUUUACCAUUUGGUAAACAUCUCUUAUCUUCAUACUGAGUUGUAGUCUGUUGACCCUCCUUCAACCCCAAGGAAGCUGUUAAGUAUAUUUUGAGGUUAUUUUAAAAGUUGUGUAAUCACACUUGAGAUAUGCUGUAGUAUGAUAUGACCAUCUUGUGUCCAUGUCUCUUCCCCUCUCACAUAUAUUAGUUUUUGAAUGUUUCCUUAUGUACAUCUCUUUUUUGAACAAGCAUCUUAUCGAGCGUGAUGAUUUCUCUCCUGAGGCCCUGUAGCUGAGGGUAACUUCUUGGAUAGGUAACGUAACCUCCCUAUUUUCCGGGUAGCAGCCGAGACCACGAACCAUAAGACUUGUCAACACUGGUCCCUAACCCUUUUGAUGCCUUGUACCGAUGUUUAUGCCAGAUGGGAGAACUCAAGAAACUAGUUGAAGAGGGUAAAAUAAAAUAUGUAGGUUUAUCCGAGGCCUCUGCUUCAACAAUCAGAAGGACGUACAAUUGAAGUGGUCAUUAUGGACGAGAUUCUGAGUGAGAAGUUAUUCCUACUUGCAGAAGUUAUUCUAUUUAUUAUGUUCUUGAACACAAGCCAACAAGUUCUAAAACAAUACAAAAUCAUCACAACAUUGGACCUCAAGGAACUAGAGGAGGCAGAGACGUGUGUUUAUUCGCCUUUCCACAAGGACAAUGGGAGAGUGUUUGAUUCCCUCCAGGCUCCAAGUGAUUGAAAUGCCCCCAAAUCUAUCACCUUUAACAGCAUCAGCUGAAGCUAUGGCUUUGAGUUCUGCCAUUUCUUCCUUCGUUAGCUUCACGGAUAAAGCACCAAUGUUUUGGUUAAAGUUUUCAAUCUUGGUGGUGCCGGGUAUGGGACGCACAUCAUUUCCUUGGUGAUGGACCCAGGCCAAUGCGAGCUGUGCUGGUGUGCAUCCCUUGCUUUCUGCCAUAGCAUUUACUUGCUCAAACAAGUUCUUGUUAUGCUCGACAUUCUCAGGUUGGAACUUUGGCAGAAGCUGCAAAAGAUGAAAUAUAUAUUUCAGUGUGAAAGAACUGCAAACACGCAGCAUCAAAAGGACCAAAUUUAGGCCUAUUGUCCCACUCCUUCACACGCAGGCACUGCAUAAGCAUUAACCUUACCAAUGUUGCCACUUGACAACUUCUCAACUAUCUUGGGACCUGAAGACAGGAAUCCUUGUCCUAGAGGACUAUAUGCAACAAUCCCAAUGCCAAGUUCACUGACAAAUUAUGGUGGACAAAAUUAGAGCUUAAAAUUGUCUUAUUUCCUAACAUAUAAGUUAGCAAUUAGUACCACUAAUGCCUUACCUGCAAGUAGGAAUAACCUUUUCCCCUGCAUAUCUUGUCCAUAACGACUACUCCAACUAUACAGCUGUUGUCGGAUGAACUGCAUUUGCCCUUCUGAUUGUUGAAGCAGGAGCCUUGGAUAACCUACAUACUUUAUUUUACCCUCUUCAACCAACUUCUUGAGUUCUCUCAUCUGGGGAAUAAACAUGAGUACAUGACAUAAAACGGAUUAGGAAUGCGUAGAUACUUGUUCGGAAAAGAGAUGCAAAUAUGAUAAGUGAAGUGGACACAAGGUGGUCAUACCAUAUGAGAGCAUAUCUUUAGUUUCUUUCUCCUCCCAUUGUACCAACCAUGUAAAAAAGAUGCUAAACUUCACUCAAUUUGUUUGAAUUGAUUUUAAUAUUUUCUUCCUA